GUGAGGAAUAUUGGUCAAUGGGCGGAAGCCUGAACCAGCCAUCCCGCGUGCAGGAAGACGGCCCUAUGGGUUGUAAACUGCUUUUCCAGGGGGCGAAACUUUCCGAUGUAUCGGGAUUUGACGGUACCCUGGGAAUAAGCAUCGGCUAACUCCGUGCCAGCAGCCGCGGUAAUACGGAGGAUGCGAGCGUUAUCCGGAUUUAUUGGGUUUAAAGGGUGCGUAGGCGGAUCGAUAAGUCAGUGGUGAAACCCUGCAGCUUAACUGUAGACUUGCCGUUGAUACUGUUGGUCUUGAGUGUGGUCAAGGUAGGCGGAAUGUGUAAUGUAGCGGUGAAAUGCUUAGAUAUUACACAGAACACCGAUUGCGAAGGCAGCUUACUGGGCCAUUACUGACGCUGAUGCACGAAAGCGUGGGGAUCGAACAGGAUUAGAAACCCUAGUAGUCC
rnacentral:rRNA from 1 species